rnacentral:ncRNA from 1 species
UAAACAGCCCUUUUAAGGGCUACCAAAUUUUUUCAAAAAGAGUCUG